rnacentral:rRNA from 1 species
ACUCAAAUGAAUAGACGGGGGCCCGCACAAGCGGCGGAGCAUGCGGAUUAAUUCGAUGCAACGCGAAGAACCUUACCUGGGUUUGACAUACGCCGGAAAGCUCUAGAGAUAGAGCCCCUUUUAGUCGGUGUACAGGUGGUGCAUGGCUGUCGUCAGCUCGUGUCGUGAGAUGUUGGGUUAAGUCCCGCAACGAGCGCAACCCUCGUCCCAUGUUGCCAGCAGCGCCUUCGGGCGGCUGGGGACUCAUGGGAGACUGCCGGGGUCAACUCGGAGGAAGGUGGGGAUGACGUCAAGUCAUCAUGCCCCUUAUGUCCAGGGCUUCACGCAUGCUACAAUGGCCGGUACAAAGGGCUGCGAUCCCGUGAGGGGGAGCGAAUCCCAAAAAGCCGGUCUCAGUUCGGAUUGGGGUCUGCAACUCGACCCCAUGAAGUCGGAGUCGCUAGUAAUCGCAGAUCAGCAACGCUGCGGUGAAUACGUUCCCGGGCCUUGUACACACCGCCCGU